CGCACAACAUUUUGAACGUGCCACGGAGGAUCAAGGCAAAAAACGAGAGCAAAAAAGGUGCACGCUGAAGGCGGAAAUGAAGCACGAUCUGGCUUGCAUCUGGUGCAUGAAGAACUUGCUGACACGUUAGUUGCAGUCUACCAACACCAACAGACAUCUUGACACCACUUCUAAGUCUGCCCUCAAAGUUACAACCUGUGCUUUCAAGAUGGAAAACAAAGGUCGCAAUUCCGAUUAGCUGCUAUCUCCCAGUUCAAGCACUUUUGCUGUCUGGACACUGGUUCCUGUGGAUGGGGUGUUACAAGCUUCACUGUCUGAUAUAGAAGUGAUGAGCAUCCAUAAGGACACAUCCCAGAAAGGGAGUCUCUUUGGGAUGACAAACCCUCAUCACCCCAUGAGGAUACAAUGGUUGACGAAUGGUUCUCAAGCACAUCGAAACUUCAACAAAUAAUUCAUGAAAAAGCCAGUCACUGCUAGCACCAGGAAUUGAACGUGGACCGUCCUUCUACCAGUCAGAGAUGUUACAUUUCAGGCGCUCAUUGACUUUUGGUGAAUUACUUGUUGACUUUGUCCCAAGGUGGAGCUCGCCACAGCUCAUUUGCCUAUCUCUUAAUGUUGUGGCAUGUGUUGCGUUUUUCUCUUUGUGUGUUCCAGACUCAGAACGGUUAAUUUGGAUCAGGUCAGGUACGUUUCAUUUAGACAUGGCAAACAUAAAGUGGUGUUUCUCAACACAACUUAGCAGUAGCAUUCAUGCAUUACUGCUACGGCCAUUAAGCGUGAAUAGAAAGCUGCACAUUAUGCAUGAUGUAAAACCCCAAGACUAGGGAACACAAAGUGACAGACACCAACACGUCCCUUUGUGUUCCCUAGUCUCGGGGUUUUACAUAUCCAUCAUCUUCACCAGCUCGCUUGCUUCCUAGCCAUUUUUUCUGCACAUUAUGUUCACUCUACUUUUAUCGUGUGCUAUAUAAUCUUGUUCAAGUUCUGUCAAACGACGUGUAAUGCUAUAAAAAAAUCAGUACACUGUUUAUGUGGGUUGAAUGGUAGCGCAUGAAUGCAGGAAGGAAACUGUCAUGUUAUGGCAAGUGUUUACGUAUUGUACAUUUAACUAUUAAUUUUAUUGGUGAGCUUUCGCCGGCGUAUCAUGUCAAGCCAUGU